UGAUACGCGAGGAACCUUACCUGGGCUCGAACGUAAGAUGACUGUAGGUGAAAGCGUUACAUCUCUUCGGAGCAUUUUACGAGGUGCUGCAUGGUUGUCGUCAAGCUCGUGCCGUGAGGUGUCGGGUUAAGUCCCAUAACGAGCGCAACCCCUACCUUUAGUUGCCAUCAGGUAAUGCUGGGGACUCUAAAGGAACUGCCUACGCAAGUAGUGAGGAAGGCGGGGAUGACGUCAAAUCAGCACGGCCCUUACGUCCAGGGCUACACACGUGCUACAAUGGCCGAUACAGAGGGCAGCUACCUGGUGACAGGAUGCAAAUCUCCAAAGUCGGUCUCAGUUCGGAUCGGAGUCUGCAACCCGACUCCGUGAAGUUGGAUUCGCUAGUAAUCGCGCAUCAGCCAUGGCGCGGUGAAUACGUUCCCGGGCCUU
rnacentral:rRNA from 1 species